rnacentral:tRNA from 1 species
GCCUACCAGGCUCCUCAGUCCAUGGAAUUUUCCAGGCAAGAGUACUGGAAUGGGUUGCCAUUUCCUUCUCCAGGGGAUCUUCCCAACCCAGGGAUCAACCUGGGUCUCCCGCACUGCAGGCAGAUGCUUUACCGUCUAAGCCACCAAGGAAGCUAAAUCUAUAUUCAAAGUGGGAAAACAGAGACAGGCCCAGAGCAAAACUCCAUUUAUCACCUGACGUCCAAACCACGGAGUGUUCUGAAUGCCCAGAGCUUAUCUCACUUCGGAUCCAGCUUCCAGUAACCCCAUUUAUUUUCUCUAAUUCAGUUACAUGGUGUAAACAAGAACACAAUUGCUGCUGCUGCUAAGUCGCUUCAGUCGUGUCCAAUUCUGUGCGACC